rnacentral:rRNA from 1 species
UACAGAGGGGGCAAGCGUUGUUCGGAAUUACUGGGCGUAAAGGGCGCGUAGGCGGCCUUCUCAGUCAGACGUGAAAUCCCCGGGCUUAACUCGGGAACUGCGUCUGAUACUGGAAGGCUGGAGUUCGGGAGAGGGAUGUGGAAUUCCAGGUGUAGCGGUGAAAUGCGUAGAUAUCUGGAGGAACACCGGUGGCGAAGGCGGCAUCCUGGACCGAAACUGACGCUGAGGCGCGAAAGCCAGGGGAGCAAACGGG